rnacentral:rRNA from 1 species
AUUGAACGCUGGCGGCAGGCUUAACACAUGCAAGUCGAGCGGAGAUGAGGUGCUUGCAUCUUAUCUUAGCGGCGGACGGGUGAGUAAUGCUUAGGAAUCUGCCUAUUAGUGGGGGACAACAUUCCGAAAGGAAUGCUAAUACCGCAUACGUCCUACGGGAGAAAGCAGGGGAUCUUCGGACCUUGCGCUAAUAGAUGAGCCUAAGUCGGAUUAGCUAGUUGGUGGGGUAAAGGCCUACCAAGGCGACGAUCUGUAGCGGGUCUGAGAGAAUGAUCCGCCACACUGGGACUGAGACACGGCCCAGACUCCUACGGGAGGCAGCAGUGGGGAAUAUUGGACAAUGGGGGGAACCCUGAUCCAGCCAUGCCGCGUGUGUGAAGAAGGCCUUAUGGUUGUAAAGCACUUUAAGCGAGGAGGAGGCUACUGAGACUAAUACUCUUGGAUAGUGGACGUUACUCGCAGAAUAAGCACCGGCUAACUCUGUGCCAGCCGCCGCAGUAACAC